rnacentral:rRNA from 1 species
CCUACGGGAGGCAGCAGUGGGGAAUAUUGGACAAUGGGCGAAAGCCUGAUCCAGCAAUGCCGCGUGAGUGAUGAAGGCCUUAGGGUUGUAAAGCUCUUUUACCAGGGAUGAUAAUGACAGUACCUGGAGAAUAAGCUCCGGCUAACUCCGUGCCAGCAGCCGCGGUAAUACGGAGGGAGCUAGCGUUGUUCGGAAUUACUGGGCGUAAAGCGUACGUAGGCGGUUAUUCAAGUCAGAGGUGAAAGCCUGGAGCUCAACUCCAGAACUGCCUUUGAAACUAGAUAACUAGAAUCACGGAGAGGUGAGUGGAAUUCCGAGUGUAGAGGUGAAAUUCGUAGAUAUUCGGAAGAACACCAGUGGCGAAGGCGGCUCACUGGACGUGUAUUGACGCUGAGGUACGAAAGCGUGGGGAACAAACAGGAUUAGAUACCCUGGUAGUCCACGCCGUAAACGAUGAUAACUAGCUGCCAGGGCUCUUAGAGCUUUGGCGGCGCAGCUAACGCAUUAAGUUAUCCGCCUGGGGAGUACGGUCGCAAGAUUAAAACUCAAAGGAAUUGACGGCNGAGAGNGCGAGACGACGACGAGGGAGAG